ACCAAAAGAAUAGCUAUGUGGU
rnacentral:miRNA from 1 species